GCAACAAACGAAUGUCACUAAUGGGGCUGCCUGGGCCGUGGUCACUGACCGUGCAGAGGUAGCUGCAAAGGCCUUUCUCUGGGUUUGCAGGGUCCAUUCCUGUCCUUGUUCAGCGCUGAAACUUUUCCAAG
rnacentral:snoRNA from 1 species